rnacentral:rRNA from 1 species
UACGGAGUGUGCAAGCGUUAUCCGGAUUUACUGGGUUUAAAGGGAGCGUAGGUGGGUCGAUAAGUCAGUGGUGAAAUCUUCGAGCUUAACUCGGAAACUGCCAUUGAUACUAUCGAUCUUGAAUUAUCUGGAGGUAAGCGGAAUAUGUCAUGUAGCGGUGAAAUGCUUAGAUAUGACAUAGAACACCCAUUGCGAAGGCAGCUUACUACGGAUAUAUUGACACUGAGGCUCGAAAGCGUGGGGAUCAAACAGG